GUGCAGCUCUACCGUUUCCUGGUGAGGAGGACCAGAUCAAGUUCAACGCCAUCAUCCUCAAGAGGCUCUUCAUGAGCAAGACUAACCGCCCGCCGCUCUCCAUGCGCCGCCUCUCCAACUUCAUGAAGGGAAAGGGAUCUGGAUAGGUUGCAACUGGGAGUAAAAUAUGCGUCCAAACUGAUCGUCUGGUGCGAAAAUCGACGACCAAGAUCCACUUCAGCUUGGUAGUGACCUGUGAGAGAUCUGUGGUGGUAAGCGGCACGUGUCUGAUCCCUGGGCAUCGGUUCAUUUCUGAUGUUUGAUCCUGGCUGUCGGUUGCCUGUCGGGAUGGCGGAUUCUUUUCGGUUGUUAUGUGCAAGUUUGGCUUCCAGAUGAGAUCUGGCUUUCAGAUUCUUCUGAAACUGAACGCAUCUAUGUUUGGCCAUUUGUACUACAUCUUUCUGAACCGAACACUGCCAUGUUUGGCAAACUGAUGAUACGUGUAUCUUUGUUGAACUCUGGUUAUCUCCAAGUAGUAGUGCUCCUCUUUUGGUUUCCUUUGUUGCUUUAUGCAUAAGAAUAGGCUGAUAAGAACAGAACAUUGAUACUUUGCAUGCUAUUAGCUGAAUGGAUGGCUCUGGUAGUAGAAUGGUAUUAUUGUUUAGGUGCAAUUU